rnacentral:tRNA from 1 species
GCCUUCGUGGCGUAGUUGGUUACCGCGUUGGUCUCAUAUAAGGGCAGUCGAUUCGACAGCUGAUUUAUAUGACCCAGUCAUUAGACUGAGACAUCCAAAGGUCAUGAGUUCGAGUCUCAUCGAGGGCA